rnacentral:rRNA from 1 species
UAGGGAAUCUUCCGCAAUGGACGCAAGUCUGACGGAGCAACGCCGCGUGAGUGAAGAAGGAUUUCGGUUCGUAAAACUCUGUUGUUAGAGAAGAACAGCGCAUAGAGUAACUGUUAUGCGUGUGACGGUAUCUAACCAGAAAGCCACGGCUAACUACGUGCCAGCAGCCGCAGUAAUACGUAGGUGGCAAGCGUUGUCCGGAUUUAUUGGGCGUAAAGCGAGCGCAGGCGGUCAAUUAAGUCUGAUGUGAAAGCCCCCGGCUCAACCGGGGAGGGUCAUUGGAAACUGGUUGACUUGAGUGCAGAAGAGGAGAGUGGAAUUCCAUGUGUAGCGGUGAAAUGCGUAGAUAUAUGGAGGAACACCAGUGGCGAAGGCGACUCUCUGGUCUGUAACUGACGCUGAGGUUCGAAAGCGUGGGUAGCAAACAGG